rnacentral:rRNA from 1 species
GACGAACGCUGGCGGCGUGCCUAAUACAUGCAAGUCGAGCGGACGGAUGGGAGCUUGCUCCCUGAAGUCAGCGGCGGACGGGUGAGUAACACGUGGGCAACCUGCCUGUAAGACUGGGAUAACUCCGGGAAACCGGGGCUAAUACCGGAUAACUCUUUUCCUCACAUGAGGAAAAGCUGAAAGAUGGUUUCGGCUAUCACUUACAGAUGGGCCCGCGGCUCAUUAGCUAGUUGGUGAGGUAACGGCUCACCAAGGCCACGAUGCGUAGCCGACCUGAGAGGGUGAUCGGCCGCGCUGGGACUGAGACACGGCCCAGACUCCUACGGGAGGCAGCAGUAGGGAAUCUUCCGCAAUGGACGAAAGUCUGACGGAGCAACGCCGCGUGAGUGACGAAGGUUUUCGGAUCGUAAAACUCUGUUGUCAGGGAAGAACAAGUACCGGAGUAACUGCCGGUACCUUGACGGUACCUGACCAGAAAGCCACGGCUAACUACGUGCCAGCCGCCGCCGUAAAAC